rnacentral:rRNA from 1 species
CUACGUGCCAGCAGCCGCGGUAAUACGUAGGGUGCGAGCGUUAAUCGGAAUUACUGGGCGUAAAGCGAGCGCAGACGGUUACUUAAGCAGGAUGUGAAAUCCCCGGGCUCAACCUGGGAACUGCGUUCUGAACUGGGUGACUAGAGUGUGUCAGAGGGAGGUAGAAUUCCACGUGUAGCAGUGAAAUGCGUAGAGAUGUGGAGGAAUACCGAUGGCGAAGGCAGCCUCCUGGGAUAAUACUGACGUUCAUGCUCGAAAGCGUGGGUAGCAAACAGGAUUAGAUACCCUGGUAGUCCACGCCCUAAACGAUGUCGAUUAGCUGUUGGGCAACUUGAUUGCUUAGUAGCGUAGCUAACGCGUGAAAUCGACCGCCUGGGGAGUACGGUCGCAAGAUUAAAACUCAAAGGAAUUGACGGGGACCCGCACAAGCGGUGGAUGAUGUGGAUUAAUUCGAUGCAACGCGAAGAACCUUACCUGGUCUUGACAU